UACGUAGGGUGCGAGCGUUAAUCGGAAUUACUGGGCGUAAAGUGUGCGCAGGCGGCCGCGCAAGUCGAGUGUGAAAUCCCCGAGCUUAACUUGGGAAUUGCGCUCGAAACUACGUGGCUGGAGUGUGGCAGAGGAAGGUGGAAUUCCACGUGUAGCGGUGAAAUGCGUAGAGAUGUGGAGGAACACCGAUGGCGAAGGCAGCCUCCUGGGCCAACACUGACGCUCAUGCACGAAAGCGUGGGGAGCAAACAGG
rnacentral:rRNA from 1 species